AUUGAACGCUGGCGGCAGGCUUAACACAUGCAAGUCGAGCGGAGUGAUGGUGCUUGCACUAUCACUUAGCGGCGGACGGGUGAGUAAUGCUUAGGAAUCUGCCUAUUAGUGGGGGACAACAUCUCGAAAGGGAUGCUAAUACCGCAUACGUCCUACGGGAGAAAGCAGGGGAUCACUUGUGACCUUGCGCUAAUAGAUGAGCCUAAGUCGGAUUAGCUAGUUGGUGGGGUAAAGGCCUACCAAGGCGACGAUCUGUAGCGGGUCUGAGAGGAUGAUCCGCCACACUGGGACUGAGACACGGCCCAGACUCCUACGGGAGGCAGCAGUGGGGAAUAUUGGACAAUGGGGGGAACCCUGAUCCAGCCAUGCCGCGUGUGUGAAGAAGGCCUUAUGGUUGUAAAGCACUUUAAGCGAGGAGGAGGCUCUUUUGGUUAAUACCCAAGAUGAGUGGACGUUACUCGCAGAAUAAGCACCGGCUAACUACGUGCCAGCCGCCGCCGUAAAAC
rnacentral:rRNA from 1 species